GAUGAAGAACGCAGCGAAAUGCGAUACGUAAUGUGAAUUGCAGAAUUCAGUGAAUCAUCGAAUCUUUGAACGCAUAUUGCGCUCUCUGGUAUUCCGGAGAGCAUGCUUGUUUGAGUAUCAGUAAACACCUCAACUUCCAUAUCUUUUUUCAAAUGGGAGUUGGACUUGAGUGAUCCCAACGCUUUUCCUCACCGAAAAGUGGCGGGUUACUUGAAAUGCAGGUGCAGCUGGACUUUUCUCUGAGCUAUAAGCAUAUCUAUUUAGUCUGCCUAAAAAACAGAUUAUUACCUUUGCUGCAGCUAACAUAAAGGAGAUUAGUUCUUGUGCUGACUGAUGCAGGAUUCACAAAGACAGGCUUCGGCCGACUUUGUAAACUCGAUCUCAAAUCAAGUAAGACUACCCGCUGAACUUAAGCAUAUCAAUAAGCGGAGGA
rnacentral:misc_RNA from 1 species